rnacentral:tRNA from 1 species
GCUUUCGUGGUGUAGUGGUCAGCACGCUCGACGGGAAUUCGAGAGGUCCGUGGUUCGAGUCCCGGCGAGGGCG